AGAGGGUGCAAGCGUUAAUCAGAAUUACUGGGCGUAAAGCGCGCGUAGGUGUGUAUUUAAGUCGGAUGUGAAAGCCCUGGGGCUCAACCUAGGAACUGCAUUCGAUACUGGGUACCCUGGAGUAUGGUAGAGGGAAGUGGAAUUCCCGGUGUAGCGGUGAAAUGCGUAGAUAUCGGGAGGAACAUCAGUGGCGAAGGCGACUUCCUGGACCAAUACUGACACUGAGGCGCGAAAGCGUGGGGAGCAAACAGGAUUAGAGACCCUGGUAGUCCACGCCGUAAACGAUGAGAACUAGGCGUUGGGAGAUUUAUAUCUUUUAGUGCCGAAGCUAACGCGAUAAGUUCUCCGCCUGGGGAGUACGGCCGCAAAGGCUA
rnacentral:rRNA from 1 species